GGCACAAUAGGGGAUUGGCCGCAACAGGUAGAGAAAGAAUACGAACAAUCAUGGCAAAGACUAGAGCUCAAAAUAAUUCUACAGGAUCUGCGAGGCAAUCUUCCCACAGAAAAGAUCUCCCUCCACCUCCAUUGACAGAGCCCAGCUCUUCGCGUCCUGUAAUCACUACGGAUGCACAAAUUGCUACUCUAAUGCAACAAAUGAAAGUAUUAAUGGAGGCGGUGCACAGCCUCUAAUAAUAACAG
rnacentral:lncRNA from 1 species